rnacentral:sRNA from 2 species
CACCUUUAAUCGCUGAAUCUCUAUUGAGAGCGGGGGAACCAUACCUGACAGAGUUGUUUCUGUCUUGGGGUGAAUCUUAUGUUUUUUAUAAGAAGGGAUACUCUCCAUCCCUAAUCCGACAGCUAACCUCGUAAGCGUUGAUUCGAGAGAGG